GAGCCUACGGGAGGCAGCAGUGGGGAAUAUUGGGCAAUGGGCGCAAGCCUGACCCAGCAACGCCGCGUGAAGGAAGAAGGCUUUCGGGUUGUAAACUUCUUUUAAGAGGGAAGAGAAGAAGACGGUACCUCUUGAAUAAGCAUCGGCUAACUCCGUGCCAGCAGCCGCGGUAAUACGGAGGAUGCGAGCGUUAUCCGGAUUUAUUGGGUUUAAAGGGUGCGUAGGCGGAUUUUUAAGUCAGCGGUAAAAUGUCCGGGCUCAACCCGGGCCGGCCGUUGAAACUGGGGAUCUUGAGUGGGCGAGAG
rnacentral:rRNA from 1 species